rnacentral:rRNA from 1 species
UACGUAGGGUGCAAGCGUUAAUCGGAAUUACUGGGCGUAAAGCGUGCGCAGGCGGUUAUGUAAGACAGAUGUGAAAUGCCCGGGCUUAACCUGGGAACUGCAUUUGUGACUGCAUGGCUAGAAUCUGGCAGAGGGGGGUAGAAUUCCACGUGUAGCAGUGAAAUGCGUAGAUAUGUGGAGGAACACCAGAUGGCCGGAAGGCAGCCCCCUGGGUCAAGAUUGACGCUCA